rnacentral:piRNA from 1 species
UUGAUUCGACGGAUAGGCGGU